rnacentral:misc_RNA from 1 species
UCGUACAACCGAGGUGCAAGGGCUGUCGCUGACCCUUCAAAGGUCGUGCACGCCCGAGCGCUCUCACCACAAUCCAUCUCACCCCUUUUGUGCAUCACCGCGUGGGUCCCCCCUUUGCGGGAGGGCUCGCGUUUUCACAUAAAACUUGAUACAGUCUAGAAUGUUUAUUUUUGCGGUCACACGCAAUCAAUA